GCCCCACAAGGACCACAAGGACCAGCAACAAGACUUUAUCAAGCAUUAUUCUCCCCCUAAGUCUUGGGCGUCGUCUUGUGGGAAGGUUGGACCAUCCCGGUCCUGGAACAGAGCUCAAGGAACUUGAUCCUCCCAGGGGGUUUGGUGAGUAGGACGCCUCAGGUGGUGGUGCGAAAAAUAUGGACUAUGAGCUGACAUGUCCAAUGUCUUCAAAACUAACUUGGUAAUUUUCACAAUACCCCCAGGAGGUACCUUUUAUUUCACCAUCGAGUAUGAAAGCCGAGCUAUUACCCUAUCUUUGUAUGGGAGAAACCUUUAUAUUAUGGGUCUCCGGGAGCCCCAUGAAACUUUUGAGAUCAAGGAGCGAAAUUAGAAGAGAAAAAGUUAUAUGUCAGGAGAAAAGAUCAAGAUACUUCGUUUUAAAAAGAACUACAUAUUUCUUUGCUCUAAAGGUGACGUUAUUAAUGUUAGAUUGGACUUAUUUGCUCUGUUGGAGGCAUUUGAAGUUCUCCACAAGUGUUGUGGU
rnacentral:lncRNA from 1 species